UACGAAGGGGGCUAGCGUUGCUCGGAAUCACUGGGCGUAAAGGGUGCGUAGGUGGGUCUUUAAGUCAGGGGUGAAAUCCUGGAGCUCAACUCCAGAACUGCCUUUGAUACUGGCGAGCUUGAGUGCAGGAGAGGAACGCGGAAUUCCAGGUGUAGCGGUGAAAUGCGUAGAUAUCUGGAGGAACACCGGUGGCGAAGGCGGCGUUCUGGACUGCAACUGACACUGAGAGACGAAAGCCAGGGGAGCAAACGGG
rnacentral:rRNA from 1 species